rnacentral:rRNA from 1 species
AGAGUUUGAUUAUGGCUCAGAACGAACGCUGGCGGCGUGCCUAAUACAUGCAAGUCGAACGAAAUCUUCGGAUCUAGUGGAGCAGGGGUGCGAUUCCCGAGUGAAUCUGCCCUUGGGUUCGGAAUAACUUCUGGAAACGGAAUCUAAUACCGGAUGAUGACGUGGGACCAAACAUUUAUCGCCCGGCGAUGACCCCGCAUAUGAUUAGCUAGUUGGAGAGGCACUGGCUCACCAUGGCUACCAUACUUACCUGGUCUGAAAUGAUGAUCAGGCGCGCUGGGACUGAAACACGGCCCAGACUCCUACCGGAGGCAACAGUAUGAAAUAUUGCACUGUGAGUGAAAGCCUGAUCCAACUCUGCCGCGAGACUGAUGAAGGCCUUAUGGCUGUAAGGCUCUUUUACCCGGGAUGAUAACUGACAGUAGCGGAAGAAUAAGCUCCGGCUAACUCCGUGCCGGCAGCCGCGGUAAUACGGAGGGAGCUAACGUUGUUCUGAAUUGCUGGGCGUACAGCGCAGCGUAUGCGGCUAUUCAUGUCACAGGUGACAGCCCGGGGCUCAACGCCGGAACUGCCUUUGAAACUAUAUAGCUUGAAUACAUCAUAGGUGAGUGGAAUUCCCAGUGUAGAGGUGAAAUUCGUAGAUAUGCGGAGGACCACCGAUGGCUAAGGCCGCUCAGUGGACUGAUAUUGACGCUGAUCGUGCGAGAGCGUGUGGAGUGAACAGGAUUAGAUACGCUGGUAGUCCACGCCGGAAACUAUGAUGACUACCUGUCACGGCACAUGGCGUUUUGCAGGCGACGCUAACGCAUUAAAUUAUCCGCCUGGGGAGUACGGUCGCCAGAUUAAAACUCGAGGAAUUGACGGGGCCUGCUCAACCGGUGGAGCAUGUGGUUUAUUCGAACCGGCGCGCAAACCCUUUACAACGUUUGACAUCCCUAUCGCGGAUCGUGGAGACACUUUCUUUCAGUUGGGCUGGAUAGAGUGACAGGCAUGGCAUGGCUGUGGUCAGCUCGUGUGAUGAGAUGUUGGGUUAAGUACCGAAACGAGCGCAACUCUCGACUUUUAAUUGCCAGCAUUUAGUUGGGUAAUAUAAAGGAACCGCCGAUGAUAAGCCGGAGGAAGGUGGGGAUGACGUCAAGUCAUCACGGUCAUUACGCGUGGGACUACACACGUACUACAAUGGGGACUACAGUGGGCAGCCGCGUCAUGAGAGGGAGAUAAUAUAAAACAGUCGUCUCAUUUGGGAUGGUUCUGUACAUCUCGUGAGCGAGAUGGGAGAAUCGAUAGUAAUCGCAGAUCCACAUGGCGGGGAGUAUGUUUUCGCACGCUUUGCACACACCGCGUGUCACCACAUGAGAGGGGGAUUCACUAGGAAGCGAUGAGAUACCUUUAAGGAGGCAGGUGACCACAGUGUGUUUAGCGACUGGGGUGAAGUCGUAACAAGGUAACCG